rnacentral:rRNA from 1 species
AUUGAACGCUAGCGGGAUGCUUUACACAUGCAAGUCGAACGAGUGGCGUGCGUGUGAGUAAUAUCUCGGAACGUGCCCAGUAGAUGGGGAUAACUACUAGAAAGAGUGGCUACUACCGCAUACUAUUGGAGCGGCCGAUAGCGGAUUAGCUAGUUGGUGGGGUAAAGGCUCACAAAGGCAACGAUCCGUAGCUGGUUUGAGAGGACGACCAGCCAAACUGGGACUGAGACACGGUCCAGACGCCUACGGGAGGCAGCAGUGGGGAAUGUUGGACAAUGGGGGAAAGCCUGAUCCAGCCAUCCCGCGUGUAUGAGAAGGCCUUCGGGUUGUAAAGUACUUUUGGCAGAGAAGCGGUAUCUGCAGAAUAAGCACCGGCUAACUACGUGCCAGCAGCCGCGGUAAUAC